CAGUAACGGCGAGUGAAGCGGUAACAGCUCAAAUUUGAAAUCUGGCCUCACGGUCCGAGUUGUAAUUUGUAGAGGAUGCUUCGAGCAUGGUCUGGCCUAAGUUCCUUGGAACAGGACGUCAUAGAGGGUGAGAAUCCCGUAUGCGGCCAGGUGCCUACGCUCAUGUGAAGCUCCUUCGACGAGUCGAGUUGUUUGGGAAUGCAGCUCAAAAUGGGUGGUAAAUUUCAUCUAAAGCUAAAUAUUGGCCCAGAGACCGAUAGCGCACAAGUAGAGUGAUCGAAAGAUGAAAAGCACUUUGGAAAGAGAGUUAAACAGUACGUGAAAUUGUUGAAAGGGAAGCGCUUGCAACCAGACUUGCGCGCGGCCGAUCAUCCGGUGUUCUCACCGGUGCACUCGGCCGUGCUCAGGCCAGCAUCGGUUUUGGCGGCUGGAUAAAGGCCCUAGGAAUGUGGCUCCUCUCGGGGAGUGUUAUAGCCUAGGGUGCAAUGCAGCCUGCUGGGACCGAGGACCGCGCUUCGGCUAGGAUGCUGGCGUAAUGGUUGUAAGCGGCCCGUCUUGAAACACGGACCAAGGAGUCUAACAUCUAUGCGAGUGUUUGGGUGUCAAACCCAUACGCGUAAUGAAAGUGAACGGAGGUGAGAACCCUUAAGGGUGCAUCAUCGACCGGUCCUGAAGUUUACGGAAGGAUCUGAGUAAGAGCAUAGCUGUUGGGACCCGAAAGAUGGUGAACUAUGCCUGAAUAGGGUGAAGCCAGAGGAAACUCUGGUGGAGGCUCGCAGCGGUUCUGACGUGCAAAUCGAUCGUCAAAUUUGGGUAUAGGGGCGAAAGACUAAUCGAACCAUUGACCUGUAGGAACACUACUAGGUGGUUAAGAGGCGGCUAAAAGUGCCGUCUAGUCCCGACGCCGGGGCGACACUGUCAAAUUGCGGGAACAUCCUUAGAGCCUAGACUACCGCAGCCUUCCUGAAAGGGGGGUGCGCACCAGGGUAAUGACCUCGGGUAUGGUAAUAACGUCUAGGAUUGGACAAUCCGCAGCCAAGCCCUACGGACCUCGGUCUAUGGGUGCAGUUCAUCGACUAGAUGGCAGUGGGUGGCAGCAAUGCCGCUUAAGAUAUAGUCAGACCCCCGGGAGACCGGGCGGCAGAACGAAGACCGUGGGGGGCGUCCUCUCUGAGAGCCYCGCGGUCCMGAGUCUG
rnacentral:rRNA from 1 species